rnacentral:rRNA from 1 species
CCUACGGGAGGCAGCAGUGGGGAAUAUUGCGCAAUGGGCGAAAGCCUGACGCAGCGACGCCGCGUGAGGGAUGAAGGUCUUCGGAUCGUAAACCUCUGUCAGCAGGGAAGAACGGUCACUGUGCUAAUCAGCAGUGAAUUGACGGUACCUGCAAAGGAAGCACCGGCUAACUCCGUGCCAGCAGCCGCGGGAAUACGGAGGGUGCGAGCGUGAAUCGGAAGUACUGGGCGUAAAGCGCGCGUAGGCGGUAGGUCAAGUCAAGGGUGAAAUCCCCGCGCUCACCGUGGGAACUGCCUGUGAAACGGGCAAACUGGAGUGUGUGAGAGGAUAGUGGAAUUGCAGGUGUAGGAGUGAAAGCCGUAGAUAUCUGGAGGAACAUCAGUGGCGAAGGCGACUAUCUGGCACAUAACUGACGCUGAGGAGCGAAAGCGUGGGUAGCAAACAGGAGUAGAUACCCCAGUAGUC